AUGUUCUCACCGAUUUCAUCGUCUGGUAAGCAAAUUCGUGGCUAUGAGUGGACUUUGAGCAAAAACACAUGUUUAUUAAUAAUAUUUCACAUAUUUUAUAGGGCUUUUUUUUAUAAUGACUUAAUCCAAAAGUAUUAAAACGGUGCGCCACUUGGCAGCACCAAAAGAACUUCAACUCCCGAAGUCCUCGUCGGUUCACUUCAGGACGACAGAGCGAGCCCCCAUAGAAUCUCAUACAAACUAUCGCUCCUCCUCAAUCAACCGAAUGUUGGCGUUUACAACAGGGACUGCAGCCCGCUCCUCUACAGCUUGCUGACAACACGGGCUGGACUUUCCAGCCGAGACUUGAGGGAGAAACGUCUAGUGCAAUUCCAGCAAGAUAAGGUUGAAUGUAUCAAAUUUAGGAAAUGGGCGACAGAAACGAUAGAGUCCCAAUGAUGACAGGCAGGACAAGGAGAUCAACCAUCGGCCCCACGCCAGCUGGGGGCAAUUCGAAACAAGCCAAUGGCAGCAAGCAGAGCAGCGCAGGGGAAAAAACGCCAAGCCAUCCGAGCCACAGCAACGGGAAGGUGAAGAAGGAAAAACAGGUGCACGAGCCGGUCAGGACACCACAGGAGAGGAGCAAAAUAUGCGAAAGGCUCAGCUGCCAUGUCCUCCAGGAGUCCCUGCUCAGCUCAGCCAGUGGAUACAGUAACUACAGAGGCAUCCUGAACUGGUGUGUGGUCAUGCUGGUCUUGAGCAAUGCACGCCUUUUCCUGGAGAAUCUUCUAAAAUAUGGGAUAUUGGUGGACCCCAUCCAAGUUGUUUCACUGUUCUUAAAAGACCCAUAUAGCUGGCCUGCACCAUGCCUUGUCAUUGUCUCCAACGUGUUCAUAAUGGCAGCUUUGUACACAGAGCGGAGGCUAUCUGUGGGCACCAUCUCAGAGACGACUGGAACAUUUCUUUACUUGGUCAAUCUGACUACCCUCCUCUGUUUCCCAUCAGCCACUGUGCUCACGCUGACCUCCAUGACCCCAGCUGGUGGAGUCUUUGCCCUGGGUGUGUACACCAUCCUCUUCAUGAAGCUGUACUCAUAUAAAGACGUUAACAUGUGGUGCAGAGAGAUUAGGCAUACCAAAGCCCGCACCCUGACCCGCUCCCAUUCAUGUCCAUCUGUGGCCCAGUCAAAUGGAUCAGCUGUACAUGCUCAUGUGUCCUACCCUGGGAAUCUCACACACAGAGAUAUCUAUUACUUUGUGUUUGCCCCAACACUCUGCUAUGAGCUGAACUUCCCCCGGUCACCACGGAUACGCAAGAGCUUCCUGUUGAGGAGACUCUUUGAGAUGCUUUUCUUCAUACAGUUACUGAUUGGAUUGGUACAACAGUGGAUAGUGCCGACGAUUCAGAAUUCGAUGAAACCAUUCCAGGAUAUGGACUUUUCCAGAAUGAUGGAGCGCAUGUUGAAACUGGCUGUUCCCAAUCAUUUAAUCUGGCUCAUCUUUUUCUAUUGGUUUUUCCACUCUUCCAUGAACUUCGUAGCUGAGCUGAUGCGGUUUGGGGACAGGGAGUUUUACCGGGACUGGUGGAACUCUGAGACGGUCACAUGUUGUUUUGUAGGAACUCUGAGACGGUCACUUACUUCUGGUCUAACUGGAACAUUCCUGUGCACAAGUGGUGCCUCCGCCACUUUUACAAGCCCAUCAUGAGGAGGGGAGCGAAUAAGUGGGUCGCCCAGACGGCCGUCUUCCUGGUCUCCGCCUUCUUUCACGAGUACUUGGUGAGCGUUCCUCUGAAAAUGUUCAGACUGUGGGCGUUUAUGGGCAUGAUGUCUCAGAUUCCCCUUGCCUGGUUUGUUGGCCGCUUCCUGAGAGGUAACCAUGGCAACGCUGCAGUCUGGAUCUCGCUCAUCAUUGGCCAGCCCGUCGCCGUGCUGAUGUACGUCCACGACUACUACGUAAUACAUUACAUGUCACAAUCAUGAACAGUUGGUCGCAAGCAGAGGAGCAAUACAUUAUACUAAAGGACAAAUUGAAUGUCAAAUGUUUACUUUGAAAGGGAAAAAUAUUAUGAAGCUUGACUGAAUAGUAAGAAUGUUACACUAAGUAAAUAGUUUGGCCUCCAGAAACCAUUUCUCUAAUGCACUUAUACAUCAGAGAGACUUGGCUCCCGUCCUAUCAUUGCUGUGAAACACUGCCCUGACAAAACUAGAGAACAUUUGUAGGCCUUUUCUCUGUUUCUUACUUAGUCUACAACUAUGAAGAUCAAUGCAGACAUUCCUAUAGAUAAACCUUACAAAUCGGUGUGCUGCUUUUCCUCAUGUGUUUGACACAUCUUUCUUGCCUUUGAUUAAAUGAUCUGAGUAUAUUAUUUGAAGUUGUGAACUCAUGUGGCUGCAGUAAUAACCAGUCACAUGUAUUGUGCAUAAGUCAAGCCAAAUCUGUUAUUACACUUGUGAAACUAAUGUGUUUGCACUACAAUGCAUGCUGUUUGCUAAUAAAUACACUUUUUUUUUUUGCCAUAAUCUUUGUAAAUGGAACUGGUGGAGUUGUUGCACAUGCAGCUAAGAAAAAUAUGGAAAUGUCUGUUCUACUCCAUUACAACCAACUAAUUGCAGCAUUACCACAAAUGGAAGAGGCAAGUAUAAGGGGGAGAAAGUAAAGAACUUGUCUGUAGGUGCUGCAUUAAAGAAAAUUGUGGUAAAUAAAGUAUACCAGUUUCAAUUUAAGAACCAAGAAAAAUGUACAGCUGCGCCAUAUUGCAAAAUAACUAGGAAGAGAUUUUUAAUGUACUGAUUCCAUGGCACAUGGUUUAUGAACUGAUACACAAAACGACACUGGAUUCAAAACUUAGUUUUUCAAUUAAAAUGAUUUAUACAAAAUUCUUGCAACCAAUAGAAUGUUAUAGGGUAUACAACCAUCCCAGCUCUGCAUAUUUUGCUGCGAAGAGAAUCAUUUGUUUUGGUACUGUCCAUAUGUAGCUUGUUUUUGGUCGCAGGUUCAGGAAUGGCUGACAAAAUGCUACAUUUACCUGGAGUUAACUCUGCAAAUAGCACUGCUGGGUGAUUUUAAAGUCAGUCAAAUCGAUCAAUAAUAUAACUUAGCAAAAAUUGAGGGGGGGGAAGGAAAAUAUAUAUUUACCCAAAAAAAAUAGAUGGGGGAUGAUGCAGACAAUUACAUUGAUAGAAGCCACAAUAUUAAAGCUUAUCUACCCCCUCCCCCAAAUGUACUAAAUAGACAAGUGCUCUUAAGAUGAAUCAGAGCUUAAGUACAAUAAGUUGUUUUAUGCCAAUAUUGCCAUCCUAUUAAAAAGAUGCUGGUGAUCCAAAUAGUAAUAACCAUAUUGAUUGUGUUGUACCAAACAUACAGUAUGCAUUUGUCCCUUUACUCCAUUCCAGACCUUCUGCACUUCAGUGAUCCUUGUUUUGUCACUAGUAUACUGGAACUGUGGUCUAGUUAGCCCUCAACCCUUCAUGUUCAGUAGGACAGUCUAUACAUGCCUUUUUUCUUCAGCAAAUUGCCUACUUAUUCAUGCCCGUGUGCCUGACAUCUCUACAUGAGCCACAUAAACCAAAUCCAGCCUGUAUUCUCACUUCAGAGAAACUAAAGUGCUUAGUUUCUAUUGUCAUUGUAGAAAAUAAGUAUUGGUUGAGUUCGGUUUUAAUUCUUUCUUUACACUUUUCAUUCUUUACACUAUUCAUUCAGGAAGUUUGCUCAUUUACAAUCAAGAUUAGUGUAUAUUUGAUGGGCAGGUAAGAGGUAUUUUCAAAAUGUGAUGUUUGUUUAUACUGUAACUCAACUAAAGAUCUAUUUUAAGCCCCCAAUCUAGUGGGUAAUAUGUUUCUAGAACCUUGAAUACCAGUGUGAAGUCAAAGGAUUGCAUAUGUAGGUGAGAGGGUAGAUUUUUCUAUUAAAUAAAAUCCUGCCUGUGGAACUGUAA